GACGAACGCUGGCGGCGUGCUUAACACAUGCCAGUCGAACGGAAAGGCCCUGCUUUUGUGGGGUGCUCGAGUGGCGAACGGGUGAGUAACACGUGAGUAACCUGCCCUUGACUUUGGGAUAACUUCAGGAAACUGGGGCUAAUACCGGAUAGGAGCUCCUGCUGCAUGGUGGGGGUUGGAAAGUUUCGGCGGUUGGGGAUGGACUCGCGGCUUAUCAGCUUGUUGGUGGGGUAGUGGCUUACCAAGGCUUUGACGGGUAGCCGGCCUGAGAGGGUGACCGGCCACAUUAGGACGGAGCUGAGGCCCAGACUCCUACGGGAGGCAGCAGUGGGGAAUGGUGCACAAUGGGCGGAAGCCUGAUGCAGCAACGCCGCGUGGGGGAUAACGGCCUUCGGGUUGUAUACCGCUUUCGCCUGUGACGAAGCGUGAGUGACGGUAAUGGAUAAAGAAGCACCGGCUAACUACGUG
rnacentral:rRNA from 1 species